GCUGGUGGCCCAGCGGUUUAAGUCGACAAUCGCUGGGCUACUGGCGCAGAGCCAGCGCGGGUUCAAAUCCCGCGACGAGCA